rnacentral:rRNA from 1 species
UAACACGUAGGUAACCUGCCCAUGUGUCCGGGAUAACUGCUGGAAACGGUAGCUAAAACCGGAUAGGUAUACAGAGCGCAUGCUCAGUAUAUUAAAGCGCCCUUCAAGGCGUGGACAUGGAUGGACCUGCGGCGCAUUAGCUAGUUGGUGAGGUAACGGCCCACCAAGGCGAUGAUGCGUAGCCGGCCUGAGAGGGUAAACGGCCACAUUGGGACUGAGACACGGCCCAA